rnacentral:rRNA from 1 species
CUAAGGCAUGAAGUUAAGCCAGAGAACCUGCUGAAUUUAAGCAUAUAAGUAAGCGGAGGAAAAGAAACUAAACAGCAUUCCCUUAGUAAUGGCGAAUGAAUUGGGAUAGGCUCAGCAUGGAAAUCCAGGCUUUCCAGCCUUGACUUGUGAUCACAUGAUGCAACACCAGCGUGGGCGCAGAUGCAAACUCCUUGGAAAAGGUUACCAGCGCAGGUGAGCGUCCUGUCUGUCAUUUGCAGUCCCGCGCGUACGGUAUGCACUCUUAGAGUCACGUUCCUUGGGAGUGGAGCGCAAAGUGGGUGGUAAACUUCAUCUAAAGCUGAACAUAUGUUUGAGACCGAUAGCGAACAAGUACUAUGAAGGAAAGAUGCAAAGGACUUUGAAAAGAGAGUUAAAAGUGCCUGAAAUUGCUGGAAGGGAAGUGAGUUGGACCAGUUUUGCUUGGUGAGAUUGGCGCAUGGCGCUGGCAUUCAUGUCAGUGUCUGCGUUGUUGCUUGCCUUGUCUGUCAGAACCAAUUCACUUGUAAAUUAAACUUUAUGCGUAGGUCGCACUCACAAUCAGUGUGUGUUCACGCAUCUGGGGAUUUACAAGUGGAUUGCGUUCAAACGCCAAGUUAAUGAAGUGACACUUCAUUGCUGUUGUUCGAUUCAAGGCGUUCCUUCGACUACAUGGUCUCGUUCGACCCGUCUUGAAACACGGACCAGGAGUCUAACAUGUGUGCAAUUUUCGGGUGUUAAACCUGCAAGCGCAAUGAAAGUGAAUGCUUGGAUAUGUGCACCUGCAACCGACCGUGAUCUUGAGAGUGGUUUGAGUAAGAGCGCAAGUGUUAGGACCCGAAAGAUGGUGAACUAUGCCUGAGAAGGGCAAAGUCAGGGGAAACUCUGGUGGAGGCUCGUAGCGAUACUGACGUGCAAAUCGUUCGUUAUACUUGGGUAUAGGGGCGAAAGACUAAUCGAACCAUCUAGUAGCUGGUUCCCUCCGAAGUUUCCCUCAGGAUAGCUGGAGUUGAACAGCUUUAUCAGGUAAAGCGAAUGAUUAGAGGAAUCGGGAACGUGUUGUUCUCGACCUAUUCUCAAACUUUAAAUGGGUAAGAUCCAGUGGUUACUUUGGUGAACCUCUGGGGCAAGUGAUAACUCUACGUGGGCCAUUUUUGGUAAGCAGAACUGGCGAUGAGGGAUGGACCUAACAUUGGGUUAAGGUGCUCAAGUGCUCGCUCAUCAGAUACCAUAAAGGGUGUUGGUUCAUUUAACAG